rnacentral:rRNA from 1 species
GCGGCUAUACCACUUUGAAAGCAUCGGUUCUCGCCUGAUCAUCAAGACUAAGCAACGUCAGGCCCGACCAGUACUUGCAUAGAUGUUGGAUAUUGCAUUCGAUCUUUCUUCGUGGUGGACAGUAAUCUCGGUACCACGCCU